UGGUUCUGGCAUCGAUGAAGAACGCAGCGAAAUGCGAUAAGUAAUGUGAAUUGCAGAAUUCAGUGAAUCAUCGAAUUUUUGAACGCAUAUUGCGCCCUUUGGUAUUCCGAAGGGCAUGCCUGUUCGAGCGUCAUUACACCCCUCAAGCCCCCGGGCUUGACGUUGGGCGUCGCCCCCCUUUUGUCGGGCGCGCCUGAAACGCAGCGAUGGUGACCGUGGACCUCCAAGCGCACAGAUGUCGCUACGCGGGGACGCGGCGGCCGGUCGGGAACGAUUCUGAACGUGGACCUCGGAUCAGGUAGGGAUACCCGCUGA
rnacentral:misc_RNA from 1 species